CAGCUCGUGCCGUGAGGUGUCGGUUAAGUCCCGUAACGAGCGCUAACCCUUGUCCUUAGUUACCAGCACGUUAGUGUGGGCACUCUAAGGAGACUGCCGGUGACAAACCGGGAGGAAGGUGGGGAUGACGUCAAGUCAUCAUGGCCCUUACGGCCUGGGCUACACACGUGCUACAAUGGUCGGUACAAAGGGUUGCCAAGCCGCGAGGUGGAGCUAAUCCCAUAAAAACCGAUCGUAGUCCGGAUCGCAGUCUGCAACUCGACUGCGUGAAGUCGGAAUCGCUAGUAAUCGUGAAAUCAGAAUGUCACGGUGAAUACGUUCCCGGGCCUU
rnacentral:rRNA from 1 species